UAACAGUCCACUCUGGCAGAAGCUGACAGU
rnacentral:piRNA from 1 species